CAACACCUAGGACUAGACUAAAGUUAAAGACUAAGGUCUAGAUUUAUUUAACGAUUUAAAAAAAAUCAAUAUAUCUAAUAUAGACAGUCUAUUUUAUCUAGAUCUAGACCAUACAUGAGAUCAAUAAUUGUCAAUAUGAAUAUUUAUAGAUCAAAUCUAGUGAACUAGUGACUCUAGUCUAGAUCUAUCGAUCAUCUAUGAUCUAGUCUGUCUAUAGCUAUACUUACUAUUAUACACUUUUACAGUAUAUGAGUAUACUCAUACGAGUCAUACUGGCUAUAAUACUAUAGUAUAGACACUAUAGUUAGUAUAGUUAAUACUUUUUAAUAGUAGAUAUAUAUUCUAUAAUCUAUCAAUUCUAUCUAAAUUAAAUUCUAAAUCUAGACUUCACUUUCACAUCACAUUCAGUCAUUCACACGAUAUUUGAUACAGACAGUGAAUGAAACGAAUGCAGUAGUUAUACUGAUUAUACUUAAAGUGACGAUACUACUUAUAGAUCUACCAGUUGAUAAACAUCAUCAUCAUAGAUAAUAAUCUACACAUCUAUAAUCAUAGUGCCCUUUAUUUAGUCAAUAUAGUAAUAUAGUCAAGUCAAGGUAGUGGAACGUAAACUCGAAGGUUUAAUACAAUAUGUUAUUAACAAGUAGAACCAUGGCAACCAGUUCUGAUGAUGUACCAGAAUGGCUCAAGGAUCAUACUUAUACUAUUUCUACUCUCUGGGCAUCCAUUCAAUAUUUAAUUUAUGUUUGGAAAUGCAAGAAAAAGGCAUGCAUUCCUGAAAAGUCAAAGAUUGGUUGCACCUCUUAAAGAUAACUUUCUGUUAUGAGAAAAGAUGAGAUUCUUGGACUCCUGCAUAGCACCACCAGAAAGGAAAAUCCCAUCAUGUUGCAAAAUAAAAGUCUUGGACCAAUUUUAAUUUAAGAUAUAUAUAUUAUACUGUAAGCUGUAUACAUAUUUAUGUAUAUCCUGUCAUUCAGCCAAUAGGUUUGGAUUUAGUAUUUCUUUAAAUCUGUUUCAUAUUGUACUUGAAAACUAUUAAUCUGAGCCCCAUUAAAACAAGAGGGAGUGCAGUGGAUGAGUGGUAAGGGAAAUUUUACUUUUUUAAAAUUAAAAUAAGAAUCUAACAAAAGUAAACAUAUAAAAUAUGGUGCAUUCUCCUUAAAACUAAAACCUGGUGCAAAGGUUUAAAAUGUUGGCAAAAAAAAAAGCAACAUCAAUUAAAUAUUCUUAAUUCCCUUUGCAAAACUUACUGAGAAGAACAUGCAUGUUGUUCCCUCAUAAGUUUCUUGACAGAGGAAAUCUUGUUUAUAUUAGAUUUGAAUUAAGCAAAUUAAGAAAAAAAUUAUAAUCAUUAUUUCAAAUGGUUGUAUCUAAACCUUAUGAAUUAUUUUUCAGUUAUAAGUAUAUUGAAAUGAAUGGAUAAUCAUGAAAUUGUUAAAUAAUUGCUGCUAUCAUUCCAUUGACUAAAGAACCAUAAUUUUUUUUUAAAUUAAUUUCAAAAUUAAUUAAUUAAUUAAUUUUCAAGCAGAGUUCACAUAGAUCUUGAGUGAAAUUUAUCUUUUUUUGACUAAUGCUUCAAUUUUAUUGUAUCAUUAGUUUUUUAUUUUUAUUACCCAGAAUAUUUUAAAAAUGAGUACACUAUUUUCAUGUAAUAAUGUAACUUGGUAUUCACACAUCAAAAUACGCUAUAAUCUUUAGGCCAUAUAGAUUUGUAUAAAUAUAAAUUAACUUGCUUAAAUACAUUGUAAAUGUAUAUUGUUUGGAUAAGAAUAAAGUUUUUCUGUAGACAA